AAAUCUUAAACUUAUGAGUAAGGAAAAUAACAAUUCGGAGUGAUGCCCAAAUCCUCACUGCUAAUGUGAGAUGAAUUUUUGAGCAGGUAAAGGUUGCCCCUAAGGUGACCCACCUACUUUGCUGGAUGCCUGGGAGUCGCAAUCUGCCUG
ensembl:snRNA U12 U12 minor spliceosomal RNA